GGCCUGGUGGUCUAGUAGUAUGAUUCCUUCUUAGGGAUUUGUUCCGUUUGGAGGAGGUCCCGGGUUCAAUUCCCGGCCAGGCCC
rnacentral:tRNA from 1 species